rnacentral:rRNA from 1 species
GACGUAGGGCGCGAGCGUUGUCCGGAUUUAUUGGGCGUAAAGAGCUCGUAGGCGGCUUGUCGCGUCGACUGUGAAAACCCGCGGCUUAACUGCGGGACUGCAGUCGAUACGGGCAGGCUAGAGUUCGGUAGGGGAGACCGGAAUUCCUGGUGUAGCGGUGAAAUGCGCAGAUAUCAGGAGGAACACCGGUGGCGAAGGCGGGUCUCUGGGCCGACACUGACGCUGAGGAGCGAAAGCGUGGGGAGCAAACGGG